UGAGAGUGGAGAAGGCAAACGGAAUGAUUCAGGAUUAGGACUGAGAUUAACACUGUGAUUAGGGGUGAGAUCAGGGUUUGGAUUACUAAUAGGAUUAAGGUCCUUUGGAAAACUGCAAACGUGGCCUUUUUUAGGAACACCACAACGACCACAGCUGUAACUACCCCGUUUUUUGCCUCGCUUGGGAAGGAUAACGACGGCUAUAGGAGUGGCGGUGUGGGGGUGAUGUUGGCGACCCUGCAUUUGUACUUCGCCGGCGCUUAGAACAAGUGACGGAUCCAAAAUAACUUGUAUUUAUUAAAGUGUUAGAUGUAUAUAUUUCAGCUUUUAAAUCAGAAAUAAUGGUGUCUAAAUUUGGAAUCCGAUACUUUUCGCCGGCGACAAUGAAACUGUGAAAUGUGUAGGCAGGACUGAGAUUAACACUGUGAUUAGGGGUGAGAUCAGGGUUUGGAUUACUAAUAGGAUUAAGGUCCUUUGGAAAACUGCAAACGUGGCCUUUUUUAGGAACACCACAACGACCACAGCUGUAACUACCCCGUUUUUUGCCUCGCUUAGGAAGGAUAACGUCGGCGAUAGGAGUGGUGGUGUGGGGGUGGUGUUGGCGACCCUGCAUUUGUACUUCGCCGGCGCUAAGAACAAGUGACGGAUCCAAAAAUAACUUGUACUUAUUAAAGAGUUAGAUAUAUAUUUCAGGUUUUAUAUCAGAAAUAAUGAUGUCUAAAUUUGGAAUCCGCCACUUUUCGCCGGCGACAAUGAAACUGUGA
rnacentral:lncRNA from 1 species